CACCUCUCAGGGUCGCACCUGGAGAGUUUCCAGUACUCUAUCAGUCUCAACUAUGGGAGAGAGAGUCAAGCAGAGGCAAACCAUUCAAUUCCUAGCUUGGCCAGUGGCUAGUGAGUGGAAGGCAAUCUGCUACAAGU